AUGUACAUGGGCUCCAACCCCACCUCAGAUAGCAGGAACUCGGACUUGCGCUGUAGCAUACCACCUGAAGGUGUUCUUCAAGUAGUCCACUUUGGCGGCGAUCUUGUCCUCACUGAGAAACGCGACAGCCUGCAGCGCUUGCCUGAACAUCCCAGAGCCACGCGGCACACCUAAUCUGUCAGCACAUGCCACCAUCGCACGGACGUGCUCCGGGUUGGUGGCCAGCAUCCUCGACACAGCGACACACGGAUUGACAAUAUCGCAGUCACCUAA
rnacentral:rRNA from 1 species